AUGCUGUGUAUCAUGUGCAUAAGCGAGCAUCUCAGCAGCCUUCUCGCUGGCUGUCCCUACCAUGAGCAAACCCAUGCCAAUACCAGCUGCUUCACCAGCCACAGCACUGUCUGUGUAAAGGACAUUCUUUAUGUCCUCAAACACUUCUUCAUCUGCUGUCCCCAGAGAGGCAAGCCCAAGUCCCAAACAAGCACCAUGCUGGAUGACCUGCAUAAUAUAGUUUUAGGUAAGAAAAAUAUAUAUACACACAAUAUAAGUAGCAUUACACAAGAAGGACAAGGAACAGAAUGUCACCUCUGCACUGGUGUUGCGAAGGCUUUCACGGAGGAAUUGUUUGAUUCCUUCACCAUGGUUGGCAUGAAUCAAACCUAA
rnacentral:rRNA from 1 species